rnacentral:rRNA from 1 species
AGAGUUUGAUCCUGGCUCAGAACGAACGCUGGCGGCGUGCCUAACACAUGCAAGUCGAACGGAGAUAAGGGGCUUGCUCCUUAUUUUAGUGGCGCACGGGUGAGUAACGCGUGGAUAAUCUACCUUGGAAUCUGGGAUAACAUUUCGAAAGGGGUGCUAAUACCGGAUAAGACCACGAGCUCUUUGGAGUUUGCGGUAAAAGGGGGCCUCUGUAUAUGCUUCUGUUUCAAGAUGAGUCCGCGUACCAUUAGCUAGUUGGCAGGGUAAUGGCCUACCAAGGCGACGAUGGUUAGCUGGUCUGAGAGGAUGAUCAGCCACACUGGAACUGAGACACGGUCCAGACUCCUACGGGAGGCAGCAGUGGGGAUUUUUGCGCAAUGGGGGAAACCCUGACGCAGCAACGCCGCGUGAGUGAUGAAGGCCUUCGGGUCGUAAAGC